AACCUGGUUGAUCCUGCCAGUAGUCAUAUGCUUGUCUCAAAGAUUAAGCCAUGCAUGUCUAAGUAUAAGCCUUUACACGGUGAAACUGCGAAUGGCUCAUUAAAACAGUUAUCGUCUCCUUGACAGUUCAUACUACAUGGAUACCUAUGGUAAUUCUAGAGCUAAUACAUGCCUAAAGACCCGACUUCGGAAGGGUUGUGCUUAUUAGAUACUACACCAACUGUCUUCGGACAGUUUUGCUGACUCAUAGUACCCAGCGAAUCGCAUGCUUCGGCGGCGAUGUGUCAUCCGAGUUUCUGACCUAUCAGCUUUCGACGGUAGGGUAUUGGCCUACCGUUGCUUUGACGGGUAACGGAGAAUUAGGGUUCGAUUCCGGAGAGGGAGCCUGCGAAACGGCUACCACAUCUAAGGAAGGCAGCAGGCGCGCAAAUUACCCAAUCCUGACUCAGGGAGGUAGUGACAAGAAAUAACAAUACUGGACCUUUCAGGUUUAGUAAUUGGAAUGAGAACAAUUUAAAACCCUUAUCGAGUAUCAAUUGGAGGGCAAGUCUGGUGCCAGCAGCCGCGGUAAUUCCAGCUCCAAUAGC
rnacentral:rRNA from 1 species